GCGAGGAGGGAGGGAAGGAGGAAGGGAGAGGGGGAGGAGGGGGGUUGUAGUGAAGUCCGAUGCCAGUACGAGCCAUUCCUCUAAAAUCAGCACUCACAUCUCACCUCAUUCAUCUCCCACUCCAUCUCUCUCUCUCCCUCUCUUGCUCUUUUCCUUUUUUCCUCUCCUCCUUCCUCCAUCGCUCGCU